rnacentral:rRNA from 1 species
UGCAAGUCGAGCGCAUCCUUCGGGAUGAGCGGCGGACGGGUUAGUAACGCGUGGGAACGUGCCCUUCUCUAGGAAUAGCCUCUGGAAACGGAGAGUAAUACCUUAUACGCCCUUUGGGGGAAAGAUUUAUCGGAGAAGGAUCGGCCCGCGUUAGAUUAGAUAGUUGGUGGGGUAAUGGCCUACCAAGUCUACGAUCUAUAGCUGGUUUUAGAGGAUGAUCAGCAACACUGGGACUGAGACACGGCCCAGACUCCUACGGGAGGCAGCAGUAGGGAAUCUUGGACAAUGGGCGAAAGCCUGAUCCAGCCAUGCCGCGUGAGUGAAGAAGGCCUUAGGGUCGUAAAGCUCUUUCGCCUGUGAUGAUAAUGACAGUAGCAGGUAAAGAAACCCCGGCUAACUCCGUGCCAGCAGCCGCGGUAAUACGGAGGGGGUUAGCGUUGUUCGGAAUUACUGGGCGUAAAGCGCGCGUAGGCGGAUUGGAAAGUUGGGGGUGAAUUCCCAGGGCUCAACCCUGGAACUGCCUCCAAAACUCCCAGUCUAGAGUUCGAGAGAGGUGAGUGGAAUUCCAAGUGUAGAGGUGAAAUUCGUAGAUAUUUGGAGGAACACCAGUGGCGAAGGCGGCUCACUGGCUCGAUACUGACGCUGAGGUGCGAAAGUGUGGGGAGCAAACAGGAUUAGAUACCCUGGUAGUCCACACCGUAAACGAUGAGUGCCAGUCGUCGGGUAGUAUACUAUUCGGUGACACACCUAACGGCUUAAGCAUUCCGCCUGGGGAGUACGGUCGCAAGAUUAAAACUCAGAGGAAUUGACGGGGGCCCGCACAAGCGGUGGAGCAUGUGGUUUAAUUCGAAGCUACGCGCAGAACCUUACCAACCCUUGACAUACUCGUCGUCGCUCCAGAG